rnacentral:rRNA from 1 species
UACGUAGGUGGCAAGCGUUGUCCGGAUUUACUGGGCGUAAAGAGCGCGCAGGCGGUCGAUUUAGUCGCGUGUGAAAGCCCCCGGCUCAACUGGGGAGGGUCACGCGAUACUGAUCGACUCGAAGGCAGGAGAGGGUAGUGGAAUUCCCGGUGUAGUGGUGAAAUGCGUAGAUAUCGGGAGGAACACCGGUGGCGAAGGCGGUUCUCUGGGCCUUACCUGACGCUGAGGAGCGAAAGCGUGGGGAGCGAACAGG